rnacentral:misc_RNA from 1 species
GAUGAAGAACAUAGCGAAAUGCGAUAAGUAAUGUGAAUUGCAGAAUUCAGUGAAUCAUCGAAUCUUUGAACGCACAUUGCGCCCCUUGGUAUUCCGAGGGGCAUGCCUGUUCGAGCGUCAUUAUAACCCCUCAAGCUCAGCUUGGUGUUGGGGCCUGCUGCACUGGCAGCCCUUAAAAUCAGUGGCGGCGCCAUCUGGCUCUAAGCGUAGUAAUUCUUCUCGCUAUGGAGUCCUGGUGGAUGCUUGCCAUCAACCCCCAAUUUUUCUAUGGUUGACCUCGGAUCAGGUAGGGAUACCCGCUGAACUUAAGCAUAUCAAUAAGCGGAGGA